rnacentral:lncRNA from 1 species
GAGCCGGUCCAGGCCUGGCUCUCAGCCUCGGGCGCGGCCACAUCCUGGGCCUUCCUGGGUUGUGGCCACAUCACCCCCAGGCCCGCCUCCAUCUCACGUGGUAUCCUGCUGUCUCGUCGGGUCCCAUCGUGACGCACGGUGAUCUCGCUAGAUCCUCACCUGAACGGCAUCUGCCGGGACCCUACUUUCAAAUAAGGUCCCGUCUGCAGGUUCCUGGGAGCAGGGCAUAGACCUAUGCUCUGGGGUCACCAGUCCCUGCACUGAGAAUGGCAGGAAGGAGUGGGAACCAGGCCCCAGGCUCACACUUAUCCCGAUGCGCUCUGCAUGUCACUGUCUGCUCGGCUGUGCCAAUGACAAAUCUGCUUUUUUACAAAAAAAAAAACGUGGUAGUUUCUCUAAAUGUUCCAUUAAUACGCUUCCUUGGCAGCCUCAUGCCACUUCCUUGGCGGUUCUGGGAAAAGCUCCUCUCAAAUCCCAGCCUGGGACCCUCCCUCCAGCCCGCGACCUGGCAGCCGCCCCUGGGACCGUCGUCACACCCCGGGGGCUCCAGCGUCUUAGGCCUCAGUUUCAGCCACGGACAUAAAGACGGCGAGAGCCGACUGUGGGUCGGUGCCUCUGAGCAGGGUCCCCACCCGCCAGCCUGUGUGCUCCAAGGGAGGGUCCUUCCUGCCUCUUCCAGCUUCUGGGGGCCCCAGGCUUCCUGGGCGCGUGGCUGCAUCACCCGGAUCUCCGCCCCCAUCUUCACCUGCCCUCCUUGGGUCCCUCCAGGUCACCUCCUCUGUCCUGAGGCCACAUACAAGCUCCAAUGGCCUCCGGAGGCCCUGUGCUGGCACUGCUGGGCCUGUGGCCAUCCUGCCCCACUACAGACCCAGCGUGAGGGGCACUGCCUUCUGUCCCCACUCCCCAGGGAGCUCUCAGCCUGCCCACGGGCACCAGGUGACCAGGUUGCCGCCAAGGAGCAGAGGAGUCGGACAGAGGCCGGGUGAGCUGCACCACGACCAGGGCUUCAUGGGCACUUCCCUGGGCACCGGUCCACCUGCCUCCUCCACUGGCCUCCACCCUCACGGGACUUCCUCUGAAAACCAGCGUGUGCACCUGUUGCUGAAACAUCAGCUGCCUCUGUGCACCGAGGCCAAAUAGAAACACGGAGACGGAGAUGGGGCAAACAGAAAAAGUAGCUUUAACGGCCCGGCAAAGAGGGGACAGCAGGCCCCCCGGAGGGGGCAGUGAGGAGCCUGGCAGUGUCCAGGAGCAGGGUGGGGUCAGCUUGUGGGCUUUUUCCUGAUUGGAGGAUGGUGAGGUCACUGGGACUCAGCGUCAUCAACCUUCUGGUCCCCCCCGGUCUGGGGUCUGCGUCGCUGCGGGCAGCAUCCUUACCCUCCUCCAUCCGUGGGGCUUCGGCACCUGCAGAACAGCUGCAAGCCCGAGGCUCAGAGUAUGAACUCCAGUCCCUGAGGAAGAGCUAAAGGUCCUGGAUGUGCUCGAAUGUUUAAACUAUUGCUAUUUUGCCUUGCUUGACUCUUCCUGUUUCUCUGCCUUUUCUCACUUCUCUGAUUAAAUC